rnacentral:rRNA from 1 species
ACCCAAAGGACUUGACGGUGAUCCAUCCAACUAGAGGAGCUUGUCCUAUGAUCGAUAACCCACGUUAUACCCAACCAUUUUUUGCUUUUCAGCCUGUAUACCUCCGUCACAAGCUUACCGUGUGAACGCAUAAUAGUAGGCCUAAUGGUUAAUCACCUACACCACCACGCCAGGUCAAGGUGCAGCUUAUAAAGUGGAAGAGAUGAGCUACAAUUUUUACCUUAGAACAAACAAAUGCUGAAUGAAAUACAGCUAAAAAGGUGGAUUUAGAAGUAAGUGGGGAAUAGAGAGCCUCACUAAAAUCGGCCCUGGAACGUGUACAAACCGCCCGUCACCCUCUUCAAUAG